GCAGCCAUGGUUGGUGGAGAAGCUCAGUGGUGUGUGGAAAAAGGAGGCCCCAGAGCUGUCUUUCUUUAUCCCAGGGCCGCAGCAGUUCCUCAGCUCAUAAACAGCUGAGUCUUGGGGAUUCUUCAAUGCCUCUGCUUGGACUAGGCACUAGGAAAAUUUGCUGCUGUAAGUUGUCACAACCUGACCACAGCUAUCCUAUAUUUAUCCUUCUGUUGCACAACUUCAAAGGCUCACAGGUGUAAGGGACUUGCCUUGUCUCAGAUGAGACUUUGGACUUGGACUUUUGAGUUAAUGCCGGAAUGAGGGAGUGGUUACCUGGAGCCCUGGUGUCUUUGGAAGGACCAGAUACCCCAUAGCUUUUCUGCAGAAGCAGGUGAUACCUAAAAUUGCUGCAGCAUCUUCCUCCCAGGCUGAGGAUGAAGCCAGUUUCAAAGAUGACGGAGCAGUGAUAGAGACUACAUGGAUCCUUGAUAUUGUUGAGUCAUUAUUGAACCAAUUCUGGAGCCUACCUUACCUCUGGACUUUAUUCCUUAAAUGAUUUUGAGUUGGAGUUUCUAUUACAUAUAGCUGAAAGCUUCCUAAUUUCCUUUGUCUACUCUCCUUUCCUCUAAGUACUUCUCAAUUUCCAAAAUUAUCUUUUGAGUUUACCUGUUUGGGGCUUUAUUGUCUAUCUAAAUGUAAGUUUUACAAGACUUUAUUCUGUCUACUACAGUAUCUACAAAACCAAAAACAGUGCCCAGCUCAUAGUAAAUGUUCAAUAAGUAUUUGUUGAAUUAGAUGAAUGAAUAAACAAAGUGUGGUGUUAACAGUGAGUGAGGCUGGCAAUGAGUCCUCACUUUUAUUAUGUUUUGCACUCUCAAAUAUGUACACUACAGAAAAGAGGCCAUUUCAGUGAAAAUAUUCACCUGGUUAUUGUGAUUGCUAUGUUGAAGCAUUGUUAUUGCAGACAUUUCUUCAUUCUACUCAGGACCAAGGGCCCACUGAUUUCCUCCUGCCAACAAAGGCCAGGAUGCUCUGGGGACUGAAUGUGCAAGCCCAAAGGUUGUAUUGUCUUGUUUCCAUAUAUAGUAUUAAAUUAUGGGCUAUCCAACAGUUAAAGAAGCUAGACCUCUUGGUAGGGAAAAGAAAUAAAACAUUUUCUUUGGAGAGU
rnacentral:lncRNA from 10 species